GAUGGCAGAAGUACAUUGGAUUACAAAAAGGGUGCGGCACCAGAGACCAAAAAUGCAGAUACUAGGCUUCUUAUUUGUUGCUGCGAUCUACUGUAUCUAAAAGGGAAAAAAUCAUAGAAGGUUCUAGAAAAGGAAGCAGAGUGCCAACAAUAUUAUAAAAGAGAUUGUCUUACUGGUUCAUCUAGGAGGGAUAAAAAAUUGUAAAUAGGUUGAUUGCCUCAAGAGUUUAAAUUGUUUUCCUAUCUAACAACUAUCCUGAG
rnacentral:lncRNA from 1 species